AUCCGGUUGACGAGUCUCGGAUAGGACGAAACGCGCGUCAAACUGGAU
rfam:Schistosoma haematobium scaffold214_10, whole genome shotgun sequence.